ACCUGAGGCUGGGCCCCUGCCAAUCGCGGGGAAGGAAGGAGACGAGCAACCAAUGGGAAGCUGGGGCCCCUGGACCACGUGCUGGUGGCUGAGUGUCGGUCUGGGGUGUCCUGGUUGGUAAGGGGCGGGAGGGUCUGGGGCUGGUCAUCAGGUGGCCGAGGCUGAGUUUCGCCAAGAGGUUUGGCUUCUAACCGAGAGUUCUCAGGCAGGAGGAGGUCCAAGAAACGCAGACACGAACGCACCUCAUGCAGACCAGGACGCUGAGUUCCCAGGACAGAUGCAUCCCUCACGUCUUACGACUCUGUCCCCUGGGGAUGGACAUCAGGCAGCCUCCAGCUCCCAGCCACUGCAGCCUUGGACAUGUCCCUUCAGAGACCUGUGUGGAAAUCUCCCUAGGAGAGAGACCUGGUUGCAGAGAUGCUGGAUCACAGGGCACAGUCCGUUGCUGUGUGGCGUCCUGGACUAGCUGUCCCCAGCCACACCUUCUGUCAGUGCAGAAGGUCCCAUGUACCCACAUCUCCACCAGCUGUUAGCUUUAUCCAGCUUCUGAUUUUUACCACUCUGACUCGAUGUCAAGUGACAUCACCAUUGCUAUCUUUCACAUUUCUCUGAUUUCAGGUCACUUUGAGCAUCUCCUCAUUUGCUUGAUCGCCUUCAGUUUGUCCUCUUUUGUAAAUUGCCUGUUCAUAUUCUUUGCCCUGUUUGCACUUGGGUUGCCGUCUUUUACUCGUUGAUUUGCAUGUGCUCCUCAUAGAAUCUAGCUGUGCCCUGUCCCAUCCGAUCUGUCCUACACGAAAUCUCUGCUCUCCACAUGUAGGUAUGAGCACUUGAAAUACGGCAAAUACAAAUUGCGAUGUGCUAAGUGUAAAAUACACACCAGAUUUCGGAAACUUAGUACAAAGAAAAGAUGUAAAAAGAUGUA